CAGCAAUGGCACCGACUCCCAGAAGAUAAUCUUUUAGAAAAUAAUCACCUGGUUUUUUCCUCGGCCAUUAGCCUUCUUGGGUCAGUUUGCUAGAAACCAACCCCCCAGCAACAAAGAAACUCCAAGGAAAAUGAGCCUUUUCAUUGCUGCUGAAAGCAGGGGGAACCACGUCCUCUUACAGGCUCUUUACUAUGGUUGAUACA
rnacentral:lncRNA from 1 species